rnacentral:rRNA from 1 species
GACGAACGCUGGCGGCGUGCUUAACACAUGCAAGUCGAACGGAAAGGCCUUUCUGGGUACGCGAGCUGGGCCCGGGAGCGUGAGACGAAGGUGAUAUUCCCCGGCCUUCGAGAUAAGACUGAGUUACGGAGACUAAUACCGACUCUGACCUCCUGUCGCAUGUUGGGUGGGGGGAAGAUAAAUUGGUGCCGGAUGGGCCCGCAGCCUAUCAGCUUGUUGUUGGGGUAAUGGCAUACCAAGGCGAAGACGGGUAGCGGACCUGGGAGGGUGACCGGCCACACUGGGACUGAGAUACGGCCCAGACUAGUACGGGAGGCAGCAGUGGGGAAUAUUGCACAAUGGGCGGAAGCCUGAUGCAGCGACGCCGCGUGAGGGAUGACGGCCUUCGGGUUGUAAACCUCUUUCAGCUGGGACGAAGCGCAAGUGACGGUACCUGCAGAAGAAGCACCGGCUAACUACGUG